rnacentral:rRNA from 1 species
GUGGGGAAUAUUCCGCAAUGGACGAAAGUCUGACGGAGCAACGCCGCGUGAGUGAUGAAGGUUUUCGGACUGUAAAGCUCUGUUGUUUAGGACGAAAGUGCCUGUUGCAAAUAGUUACAGGUAUUGACGGUACUGAACGAGGAAGCCACGGCUAACUACGUGCCAGCAGCCGCGGUAAUACGUAGGUGGCAAGCGUUGUCCGGAAUUAUUGGGCGUAAAGAGCAUGUAGGCGGGAAUCUAAGUCUGUUGUGAAAAUGCGGGGCUCAACCCCGUAUUGCGAUGGAAACUGGGUUUCUUGAGUGCAGGAGAGGAAAGCGGAAUUCCCCGUGUAGCGGUGAAAUGCGUAGAUAUGGGGAGGAACACCAGUGGCGAAGGCGGCUUUCUGGACGGUGUCUGACACUGAGGCGCGAAAGCUAGGGGAGCGAACGGGAUUAGAAACCCUUGUAGUCC